rnacentral:rRNA from 1 species
UACAGAGGUCUCAAGCGUUGUUCGGAUUAUUGGGUUUAAAGGGUGCGUAGGCGGCUUUUUAAGUCAGGGGUGAAAGACGGUAGCUCAACUAUCGCAGUGCCCUUGAUACUGAAGAGCUUGAAUACACUAGAGGUAGGCGGAAUGUGACAAGUAGCGGUGAAAUGCAUAGAUAUGUCACAGAACACCAAUUGCGAAGGCAGCUUACUAUGGUGUCAUUGACGCUGAGGCACGAAAGCGUGGGGAUCAAACAGG